UGGCCAAGCACCUCAGGCUGCUUGAGAAGAGCAGGAGUUGUCCAAUGAAUCAGUCCUGGUGCCUCCUGAAAAUAAUCCAGGGGAUGCUCUAGGGUAUUAGUGAGACUUUGUUUUGGAACAAAGGCAAGUCUCUGCUUAGGCAUGUCUGGUGUCAGCUGUCCUGUUGAAAUCUGAAGGUGAAUGAAAAACAAUUAAGAAAUUCAGAAUUAAGAAUCUACAGCAUCCUUACACAUAACAUUGACACAUAGACACUGUCCAUGCUCUCAUUAGGAAUGUUACAGCUUUAGCAGGCCCCCAGCUGUGCACAGAGAAGCCUAAGAAAACAGAAGUCCCCU